AUAUUAAACGUUAUACAUGUCAGCCCGACUUUUUUUUUGUUUUGUAGACAGACGAGCAUACGGCCCACCUGAUGGCAAGUGGUCACCGUCGCUCAUGGACGCCAGCAAUGCCAAGGGCAGAGCCAAGCCGCUGCCUACCAUUAAAUUUGUCACGCUUGUAUCACUCUUGUUAGAGCCGUCGUGAUCGUCAUCCAGCAGCAUUGCUGUGGGCAGAUGUUAUGCGCCCCACGAGCAAUCGCCACUCCUCCCGGUUUGUGGAGCCUGGUACACUCAUGCAAACAGUCGCCAAUUGCUGACUUGAUUAGGUCGGUCCAUCGCAUGGGCUUCCCACGCGAUCUGGUGCCUUCUACUUUGCCCUGAACGACAAGGCGCUCGCUCAUAGGGAAGGGUUGCUCGCUCCAGGCAUUUCAAUAUUGUAGUAAUUGUUACGUUAUAAUACUCAUUGUAAAAAAUUCAUAUUUAAAAAAAAAUCUAAUAUUAAAAAAAAUAAUAAUAAUAAUUUUAUACUUAAAAAAAAAAGACAUGCCCGCCGAGUUUCUUGCCAAUUCUUCUCAGGACGGAGGCUAGUUCUUGUGAAUUGGCGGUAGUUUUUUUGACGUUCAACAAGUAUGUACUUUCAUUUAUGUUGAAUUUUUUUUUUUUUUAUUUGAUUUGAUUUGAUAGUCAUUUCAAAAGUCUAAAACUGAGGCCUUCGAUUGAUUGAUAGGACCAUUCUAAAUCCUUAGAAUAAUUACACAUAGAAACCGAGUCCGCCUCCGUAAAGUGAGGCAACUCAAACCUAGCCAUAUUGGCUAAGUUCAUUAUUCGGCCCAUCAGUGCUCAAGGACGUGUCGUAUUGAAAAGUACUCCCGAAAAUUUUAUUAAAAAUGACGGUUUGUUCAAUGAACGGAUGUCAUAGUACAUCGGAAAAACACAAGAAAGAUAGUAACAUUACAUUUCACGGGUUUCCUUCCUAUCAUCGAAGCGACAAUUGUUCAGAAAACAGUUUCAGUUGUUACAAGGCUACUGAAAUAAAUAAUUAUACUUGUU